rnacentral:rRNA from 1 species
CGAACCGAGCGAACGUUGUUCGGAAUCACUGGGCUUAAAGGGCGCGUAGGCGGGUGCUCAAGUCUGUGGUGAAAUCCUCCGGCUCAACCGGAGAACUGCCAUGGAUACUGGGUGCCUCGAGGGUGAUAGGGGUAUGCGGAACUAUCGGUGGAGCGGUGAAAUGCGUUGAUAUCGAUAGGAACUCCGGUGGCGAAGGCGGCAUACUGGAUCACAUCUGACGCUGAGGCGCGAAAGCCAGGGGAGCGAACGGGAUUAGAUACCCCGGUAGUCCUGGCCCUAAACGAUGGGUACUAGCUAGUAGGGUUCACAUGGCUUUACUGGCGAAGCAAAAGUGCUAAGUACCCCGCCUGGGGAGUAUGGUCGCAAGGCUG